UACGAAGGGGGGCGAGCGUUUAAUCGGAAUUACUGGGCGUAAAGCGUGCGCAGGCGGUUUUGUAAGCCAGAUGUGAAAUCCCCGGGCUUAACCUGGGAAUGGCAUUUGGGACUGCAAGGCUGGAGUGCGGCAGAGGAGACUGGAAUUCCUGGUGUAGCAGUGAAAUGCGUAGAUAUCAGGAGGAACACCGGUGGCGAAGGCGACAUCCUGGACCGGUAUUGACGCUGAGGCGCGAAAGCCAGGGGAGCAAACGGG
rnacentral:rRNA from 1 species